AGUGAACGCUGGCGGUAGGCCUAACACAUGCAAGUCGAACGGCAGCACAGAGGAGCUUGCUCCUUGGGUGGCGAGUGGCGGACGGGUGAGGAAUACAUCGGAAUCUACUCUGUCGUGGGGGAUAACGUAGGGAAACUUACGCUAAUACCGCAUACGACCUACGGGUGAAAGCAGGGGAUCUUCGGACCUUGCGCGAUUGAAUGAGCCGAUGUCGGAUUAGCUAGUUGGCGGGGUAAAGGCCCACCAAGGCGACGAUCCGUAGCUGGUCUGAGAGGAUGAUCAGCCACACUGGAACUGAGACACGGUCCAGACUCCUACGGGAGGCAGCAGCGGGGAAUAUUGGACAAUGGGCGCAAGCCUGAUCCAGCCAUACCGCGUGGGUGAAGAAGGCCUUCGGGUUGUAAAGCCCUUUUGUUGGGAAAGAAAUCCAUCUGGUUAAUACCCGGUUGGGAUGACGGUACCCAAAGAAUAAGCACCGGCUAACUUCGUGCCAGCAGCCGCCGUAA
rnacentral:rRNA from 1 species